rnacentral:miRNA from 1 species
AAUAAAUACAUAUAUGCACACAUAUGUAUACAUGAAUUUGCAGUACGUAUGUGUGUACAUAUUUGUCUGCACACUCAUAUAUGUAUAUCUAUAUCUAUAUCUAUAUAUGUGUGUGUGU